GUGAGCAGAACACAGGCUAGGGAAAUGAACAGUGAAGGUUCUCCCAGAGAAGUUUCUAAGAAGUCAGCCUACUGGGCAGCAUAUAAGGAGAGGUCCUACAACACAGGGCUCAGGGACCCUGGCCAAAUCUAGAAUUUUUUGGAAGCUGGGAAUAUGCAGGUCCAAUCCUAUUACCAUAAAUACCAACCAAUUCAAGAAAAUCUGUCUAAUUAAAAGAUUCCCAGGGUUCAGCUGCUGACCUACUUAUUUCAAGAUGACUCAACAUAAUAAAUGUCAACUAAGAAAUACAA